rnacentral:rRNA from 1 species
UCAAGCGUUGAAGGGCUUCUGACGGAUGCCUUGGCGUAGAGAGGCGAUGAAGGACGUGGCAAGCUGCGAUAAGAGCCGGGGAGGCGCUAGCACCCUUUGAUCCGGCUAUUUCCGAAUGGGGAAACCCACCUUUACAGUCUUCCAACUUUGCCUUCCCUCGGGAGGGUACGGAUUGGUAGGUUGUUUAAAGGUAUAAUGAGCUGAAUACAUAGGCUUCAUUAAGCGAACCCGGUGAACUGAAACAUCUCAGUAACCGGAGGAAAGGACAUCAACCGAGACUCCCGUAGUAGUGGCGAGCGAACCGGGACCAGGCCAGUGCUCUUGUGACAUAAAGGCGAACGAUCUGGAAAGAUCGGCCAUAGCGGGUGACAGCCCCGUAGCCGUCAAACAGCAAGAGACUCGAGUAGGGCGGGACACGUGAAAUCCUGUCUGAACAUGGGGGGACCACCCUCCAAGCCUAAGUACUCCUCUACGACCGAUAGUGAACAAGUACCGUGAGGGAAAGGUGAAAAGCACCCCGACAAGGGGAGUGAAACAGAUCCUGAAAUCGGAAGCCUACAAGCAGUCGGAGCCCCCAAGCGGGGUGACGGCGUACCUUUUGUAUAAUGGGUCAGCGACUUCAUGUGUCGAGCAAGCUUAAGCCGUUAGGUGUAGGCGUAGCGAAAGCGAGUCUGAAUAGGGCGCUAAGUUCGACGUAUGACGACCCGAAACUAGGUGAUCUAUCCAUGAGCAGGUUGAAGGUUAGGUAACACUAACUGGAGGACCGAACCCGUGAAUGUUGAAAAAUUCUGGGAUGACUUGUGGAUAGGGGUGAAAGGCCAAUCAAACCUAGACAUAGCUGGUUCUCCGCGAAAUCUAUUUAGGUAGAGCGUCCGACGAAUUCCUUGGGGGGUAGAGCACUGGAUGGUUGCGGGCUGCGCGAGCGGUACCAAUACUAACCAAACUCCGAAUACCCAAGAGAACUAUCGGGCAGACACACGGCGGGUGCUAACGUCCGUCGUGAAAAGGGAAACAACCCUAACCAUCAUCUAAGGUCCCCAAGUCAUGGCUAAGUGGGAAACGAUGUGGGAUUGCUUUGACAAUCAGGAGGUUGGCUUAGAAGCAGCCAUCCUUUAAAGAAAGCGUAACAGCUCACUGAUCAAGCGAUCCUGCGCGGAAAAUGUAACGGGGCUAAAGCCAUGCACCGAAGAUAUGGGUUUGCAGUUUACUGCAAGCGGUAGCGGAGCGUUCCGUAAGCCUGUGAAGGUCAACUGUGAGGUUGGCUGGAGGUAUCGGAAGUGAGAAUGCUGACAUGAGUAACGAUAAACAGUGUGAGAAACACUGUCGCCGAAAGACCAAGGGUUCCUGCGUAAAGCUAAUCUGCGCAGGGUUAGUCGGCCCCUAAGGCGAGGCUGAAAAGCGUAGUCGAUGGGAAGCAGGUAAAUAUUCCUGCACCAGCUGGAAGUGACGGAUGGCAUAACUUGUAAGGGCUUAUUGGAUUGUCCUUGCAGGGGCGUUGUCCCAGGAAAUAACUCCAGCAGAGACCGUACCCGAAACCGACACAGGUGGUCAGGUAGAGCAUACCAAGGCGCUUGAGAGAACUGUGCUGAAGGAACUCGGCAAAUUGCACGCGUAACUUCGGAAUAAGCGUGACUCACCCUGCGCAAGCAGGAAUGAGUGGCACAAGCCAGGGGGUAGCGACUGUUUAGCAAAAACACAGGGCUCUGCGAAGCAGCAAUGCGACGUAUAGGGUCUGACGCCUGCCCGGUGCCUGAAGGUUAAAGGGAGGAGUGAAAGCUCCGAACUGAAGCCCAGGUAAACGGCGGCCGUAACUAUAACGGUCCUAAGGUAGCGAAAUUCCUUGUCGGGUAAGUUCCGACCUGCACGAAUGGCGUAACGACUU